UUGCUGAGACUGGGGACAGAAGUGGUCGUGGGGAGGAAAGUCAUGAACGCAGUUUGCACUACAGGCUGGGAAGGGUGUGUGGUGUGAAUAUCCAGAAACUUAAUUUCAAGAAAUGUUUUUGCCUGUAAGCUUUCUUUUCACUUUUCCUGUCUUCCCUCCUGCUGUUGUAUUGAUUUUUUUUUUUUUUUUUUUUUUUUUUUUUUUGAGAUGGAG
rnacentral:lncRNA from 10 species